GAAAUGCGAUAAGUAGUGUGAAUUGCAGAAUUCAGUGAAUCAUCGAAUCUUUGAACGCACAUUGCGCCCUUUGGUAUUCCUUAGGGCAUACCUGUUCGAGCGUCAUCUAAACCUUCAAGCCCUGCUUGGUGUUGGGUGCCUGUCCCGCCUCCGCGCGCGGACUCACCUCAAAUCCAUUGGCGGCCCCCGCGUCGGCCACGAGCGCAGCAGAAACGCGAACUCGUGAGCCCGUCCGGGCGGCUCCCAGAAGCUACACCCACCCAGUUUGACCUCGGAUCAGGUAGGGAUACCCGCUGAACUUAAGC
rnacentral:misc_RNA from 1 species